AACGCACCUUGCGCUCCCUGGUCAUUCCGGGGAGCAUGCCUGUUUGAGUGUCAUAAUACUCUCAACCCCUGGGGUCUUUAAGCGGACCACCUCGGGCUUGGAUCAUGGACGCUGCCGGCCCUCUCGGGGGUGUGGCUCGUCUGAAAUACAUGAGCUGACCUGUCUGCGAACAGCACGGUUUGACUCGGCGUAAUAAAUCCAUUUUUCGUCGGGGACACCCUUUGCGGGGUGGCCGGGCUCGCGGUCUUCGGGUUGCUUACAAUCGAAUAGUCCCAUCUAUUUUAGACCUCAAAUCAGGUAGGAUUACCCGCUGAACUUAA
rnacentral:misc_RNA from 4 species